rnacentral:rRNA from 1 species
GAUGAACGCUGGCGGCGUGCCUAACACAUGCAAGUAGAACGAGUGGCGAACGGGUGAGUAACGCGUGGGUAAUUCCCUCAUAGCGGGGGAAAACAAUUGGAAACGAUAGCUAAUACCGCAUACUGUGCGAUAGACCUGCGUUGUAUGAGUUAGUUGGUGAGGUAAAGGCCCACCAAGGCGACGAUACCUAGCCGGCCUGAGAGGGUGAUCGGCCACACUUGGACUGGAGCAAGGCCCAGACUCCUACGGGAGGCAGCAGUAGGGGAUCUUCGGCAAUGGACGGAAGUCUGACUGAGCAACGCCGCGUGGGUGAAGAAGGUCUUCGGGUUGUAAAGCUACGUUGUUAGGGAAGCGGUACCUAACCAGAAAGGUACGGCUAACUACGUGCCAGCAGCCGCGGUAAUAC